rnacentral:rRNA from 1 species
UUAGAGAAGUGUUAUCCGCGCUGGACSGUGURCGAGUSUCCUGGAACGGAGCGUCRUAGAGGGUGAGAAUCCCGUCUUUGACACGGACCACCAGUGCUUUGUGAUGCGCUCUCGAAGAGUCGAGUUGUUUGGGAAUGCAGCUCAAAAUGGGUGGUAAAUUCCAUCUAAAGCUAAAUAUUGGCGAGAGACCGAUAGCGAACAAGUACCGUGAGGGAAAGAUGAAAAGAACUUUGGAAAGAGAGUUAAACAGUACGUGAAAUUGUUGAAAGGGAAACGCUUGAAGUCAGUCGCGUUGUCCGGGGAUCAACCUUGCAUUCGUGCUCGGCGUACUUCCCGGUCGACGGGUCAGCAUCAAUUUUGACCGCUGGAUAAAGGUCAGGGGAAUGUGGCAUCCUCGGAUGUGUUAUAGCCUCUGGCUGCAUACAGCGGUUGGGAUUGAGGAACUCAGCACGCCGCAAGGSCGGGUUUUUGACCMCGUACGUGCUUAGGAUGKUGGCAUAAUGGCUUUAAUCSACCCGUCUUGAAACACGGACCAAGG